rnacentral:pre_miRNA from 1 species
AGGGUGCGACGGAUCUUGGGCUGUGCCCCAGCGCCCUAUGCUCCCGGGCCUGUGCUGUUGGAAUCAUGGUCCCGGACGCACAGCUCCCU